rnacentral:rRNA from 1 species
UGCCAGCCGCCGCGGUAAGACGGGGGGUGCAAACGUUGUUCGGAAUUAUUGGGCAUAAAGCGCACGUAGGCGGUCCGUUAAGUCAGUUGUGAAAUCCCUCGGCUCAACCGAGGAAUUGCAGUUGAUACUGGCGGACUUGAGGACGGUAGGGGUGAGUGGAACUCCAGGUGGAGCGGUGAAAUGCGUAGAGAUCUGAAGGAACAUCAGUGGCGAAGGCGACCUCCUGGACUGAUAUUGACGCUGAGGUGCGAAAGCGUGGGGAGCAAACAGGAUUAGAUA